CAGCCGCCGCGGUAAUACGGAGGGCGCGAGCGUUACCCGGAUUUACUGGGCGUAAAGGGCGUGUGGGCGGCCUGGGGCGUCCCAUGUGAAAGGCCACGGCUCAACCGUGGAGGAGCGUGGGAUACGCUCAGGCUAGAGGGUGGGAGAGGGUGGUGGAAUUCCCGGAGUAGCGGUGAAAUGCGCAGAUACCGGGAGGAACGCCGAUGGCGAAGGCAGCCACCUGGUCCACUUCUGACGCUGAGGCGCGAAAGCGUGGGGAGCAAACCGGAUUAGAUACCCCAGUAGUCCCUGUCUCUUAUAC
rnacentral:rRNA from 1 species